rnacentral:lncRNA from 1 species
GGAGUGGUGGAAUCACACAAAAUCCACCGCAGGGAGUGGAGCAGAAUCGCGGCUGUUAAUACGACCUGUCAGGGAGUAAUGGAGCUACACAGGGUCCGCCGCAGGGAGUGGAGCAGAGUCGUGGCCGUUAAUACAGCUUGUCAGGGAGUAAUGGAGCUACACAGGAUCUGCCGCAGGGAGUGGAGCAGAGUCGUGGUCGUUAAUACGGCU